rnacentral:lncRNA from 1 species
AUGUAUAGGAAUGCAAGAGAUUUCUAAGUAUUAAUUUUGUAUCUUGCAACUUUACCAAAUUCAUUGAUGAGCUCUGGUAGUUUUCUGGCAGCAUCUUUAGGAUUUUUCAUGUAUGGUAUCAUGUCAUCUGCAAACUUGUACAUGCAGGGAGGUGCUGUGUAGCACAGGGAAAUCUACUCAAUAUUAUGUGAUAAUCUGUAUGUGAAUGGAUAUGUGUAUGUUUAUAAUUGAAUCACUUUCCUUAUUGCAGAAAUUAACACAUUAUAAAUCAGCUACACUUCAAUACAAUUUUAAAAAAAAAGAACCCACUGAGAGCAACAGCCGAUUUCCUGUUAAAUCAUGCAAAUAUGCACCAGAUCCAAGUUCUGCCCUGUCCAGUCUUUUUCUUCCGCACAACUUCAAAAAUGUUUCCAUCUCUGAUGCUCUAUGAAAAUUCAUGCAAACAGGACUAUUCUGCCUCUCUCCAGCUGAACUGAAAGAUUUUAUAAAUGAUUUUUGGGUAAUUUCCACCCCCCCAAGUAAGUAACUUUUUAAGCAACAAACGUUGGCAAUUUUCUGUUUCCUGAAGACCUAAUCUCCAAAUUAUUUUUAUUUUACAGCACACUAUCAGUGCCUAAAAUUAUAUAAUGUAAAAAUAUUAUAUAUGUACUGCUAUUCCAAUUUAUUGUGACAUUUUAAAAAAUACAAAAAAAUAUAUAAAUUAACUGAUAGUGAGAUUAAAAAAUAACCAGAGAUAUGCUAAUAUUUUUUUCCCAAAGGGAUGAGGACACUCACUUUUAAGAUCACUGGACUAAUGGAUCCUGCAUGCACACACAUAAUUAUACCACUUUGUUUAACUACCAUGAGAUAAUUUAUUUUAUAUACAAUUUAAAUCAAAGCUCUCAGAAUGCCACAAGGGGUUGGGAAUAAAAUUAUAUGUGAAUAUAUCUCUCAUAUGCAUAUAUAAAAUUUUGUAAGCUCAAUUAAGUAAUCACCGUUAGUUCUCUCAUUAUUCCAUCAAGUCAUCUACUGCUAAAGAAUCCAAAUUCUACAAUAGAUUUCUUUUCUUCAAGGACUUACAUCUCAAAUCAUACCAAAAGCCAAGAAAUGACCUCUAAGAAAAAAACAAAAUCUAGUGUGGGCAUCACUAUACAUACCCAUUUGGAAAGACAAUUAAUGAAGAAAUACAAAAGACAAAGCAGGAUGAAACAUAGAGUCUACUUAGAGCUGAAUGGACAUAUUUUCUAGACUACUUUCUCAGCUUCCCAUGACAUCCAGAGCAAAAGGGCUCCAUAAUUUCCAACCCCUUCUGCCUAUUGUGGAGUCUUUCUUGCUUCCCCCCAUAAGCGCCUUCACUAAAGUGUUUUCUCUGGGUAUAAAACUGACCUUGGGUUUCUGAUCCAGACAAGACGAUCUAGAUCUGUUUGUACCCACUCCUCAUGCAGGAUAUAACAAAAGGCCACCAAAGGUAAACUUGGAUAGUUGGCAAGAAGAAGGUGAGCUAGUUUGGGACCUCAAGACUGGAAGAGCAACACAGUAGCACCCAAGAGAAGAAAGUAACGCAGGCCCAGCAACUCCUGACCUCCCAUCUAGUAGCAACAGGCAGCCUAACCAGUGCCAUUCCUCCCCCCAGACUGAAUAUGAAUGAACACCAGGUGAGCUAGGCCAACUUGGGAAGGGACAUAGAUGGGAAAAACAUGCUUCUGGGGGAGACUCUAAAGCUGCUACAUGGCACAGCAAGCAAUACCACACAAGCAACCGGGUUUUGGAAGCAUUCUUACCCCUACUGCCUGUGAAUCCCUCCAGAAAGCACCUAUAAGGUGACCUCACCACAACAAGCAGACAAGCCUGGGAAGUACUCUUGGUCCCCCACAAGGGGGAGGAUCCUGGCAGAACAAGUACAUGACCAGAGAAACCUCCACAAGCCUGAAAUUCCCUGUUUCACUGGAGACAUACAGGUGGAUGGGCAGAAUCAGCAGGAGGAACCUAGCUACCUAGGCAGCAGGGCCAAUGAGGUCUCUUUGUCUCCAAGAGUCUAAAACUUCCUACUUCUGCAUAGAAACACUGAGGUAGCUGGGAGGUACUAGUAGGGGAUUAUAUAACAGCAAGUUCUGGCUCAGGGAGCCCUUUUUUCCCUACAGGCUCUGGACUGCCUUCUCUUACCUACAGACACCCAGUGGCUCAUCUGAGGAAACCCAUUUUGCUUCCUCAGACAGCACCAUCAAGGACCAGUGGGAAGCCAAGCAGCAUUACAUAAGUCAAACAGACUAAAAUCAUAUGGCAAAGCCUUUAAAAUUAAAAAUUAAAUUCUCAGUGGAACCACAGCCCAAAAAACUAAGCCAGGGACUCCAUGAUAAAUCUAAACAGGACAACUUUAUAGUAAAACAAGAUUUAAAUAGGAUCUCAGAGUCUUCUAACAUAAGACAGAAUAUCCAGGCAACAACUGAAAAUGACUUGUCAUACCAAGAACCAAGAAAAUGAAAAUUGGACUGAGAAAAGACAACCAAGCAAUUCUAAUACUGAAAUUAAUCAGAUAAUUAUAUCUGAUCCAAGUUUUAAAGUAGCCAUUAUAAGAACACUUCAUGAUAAAUUGUAAAUUCUCUUGAAAUAACUGAAAAAAUCUUCUUAAAGAAAUAGAAGUAAUAAAAAAGAACCAAAUGGAAGUUAUACAAAUAAAAGGUACAAUAACAAAGAAAUAACUCACAGGUUGGAGAUUACAGAGGAUAAGAAUCAGUGAACUUCAGGAGAGACCAAUAGGAUCCAUAUAAUUUGAGCAAUAGAGAGAAUACAGACUGAAAAAAAAAUUAAUAGAGCCCCAGUGACCUGUGAGAUAAUAAUAAAAAUUCAACAUUCAUCUCAUCACAUUUCCAUAAAAAAAGGAGACAAAAAUGGGGCUGAAAGGCUACCCAAAAAAGUAAUAGCUGAAAACUCCCUAAAUGUGGGAAAAGAUACAAAUGCACAGAUUCAAAAAAUUCAGCAUCUCAAAACAGGAUAAACCCAAAAGAAUCCACAUCAAGACACACUAUAAUUAAAUUUCAUAAAUUCUGAAAUGAAAAAGGAAAAAUCUUGAAAGCAUCCAAGGAGAAAUGAUGCAUUACCUGUAGGUAAGUAUCAACUCAUAUGCCAGUGGAUUUCUAUUAUGAAACUCUAGAGUCUAUAAGAAGAUCAUAAGUCCUGAAAGAAAAGAACUAUCUAUCACAAAUUCUUUAUUUGACUAAGUUAUCCUUUACGAAUGAAGGGAAGCAAAAUUAUUAUCACAUGAAUAAAAAAGCUAAAAUAAUUUUUCGCUAGCAGAUCAACUCUUAAAAAGUAGCUGUAAUGAAAGUCAUCAACCAGUAAGCAAAUAAUAGAAGAACGACUCAUGGAACAUCAGGAGGAAAGAAAGAACUGAGUAUAUACAAUACUGAGUAUACACAAUCAAGCAGGACCUAAACAACACAUAUAGAACACUCAACCCAAGAAUGAAAAAACAUGUUAAAAAGUAUGAAAAAAUCCCAACUGUCCAGAAAUAAGAUUAAGCUCAACACAUUUGAAAGUAUUUAAACUAUACAAUGUGUUCUCAAAGUAUAAUGCAAAAAAAAAAUUGAUAACAAAGACAAUAAGAAAAUCUCUAAACAUGCAUAAAUUAAACAACACAUUUCUAAAUGAGCCACAGGUCAAAAAGGAAAUUUCAAUGGUAUUUUAAAAAUACAUAGAAUUUAAUGAAAAUAAAAUCACAUUAGAUCAAAAUAUGUGGGAUGUAGCUAAGGCAGUACUGAGAGGGAAAUUUCUAGCACUAAAUAUUCACAUCAGAAAUAAGGAAAGGUCUGAAAUGAAAGAAAUGAACAGUUCCUCAAAAUUCAUAAAUUAUCAUGACUCAAACAAGAAGAAUUAGAGCAUCUGAACAGUCCUAUAACCAUUAAUGACAUUGAAACUGUAAUAUAGAACUUCUCAAAAGGAAAUCUUCACUCCUAGAUGGUUUUACUAGAGAAUUCUAACAAACAUUUAAAGAAUAACUGAGAGCAAUUUUACACAAUCGCUUUAAGAAGAGCAGAAAACCCUUCCAAACUAAUUUGAUGAGGUCAGUACUGCCUUGUUUCAGAAACAAAGGCAGUGCAGAAAAAAAAAAAAAAACAAAAA